rnacentral:other from 1 species
AACUGCCUAUAAAGGAACAAUCAGGUGAACAUAAAACCGACUAAACGAUUAAUAAGGGAACCAGAACUAAUAGAUGGUGUUGAAUACUCAUAUUUAUAUGAGGAUCCUAAUAUCUAUUACGGGGUGCCCACCUGCACAUAUGUGUAGGUUUAUCGUCCCUGACCUUUAUGGGUAUUUU